UACAUGUGGGGCAAGCGUUGUUCGGAAUUACUGGGCAUAAAGGGUGCGUAGGCGGCGCCGUAAGUCAGGGGUGAAAUCCCGGAGCUCAACUCCGGAACUGCCCUUGAAACUGCAGUGCUAGAAUCUUGGAGAGGCGAGUGGAAUUCCGAGUGUAGAGGUGAAAUUCGUAGAUAUUCGGAAGAACACCAGUGGCGAAGGCGACUCGCUGGACAAGUAUUGACGCUGAGGUGCGAAAGCGUGGGGAGCAAACAGG
rnacentral:rRNA from 1 species